rnacentral:rRNA from 1 species
UCCCAGUUCGGAUUGUAGUCUGCAACCCGACUACAUGAAGCUGGAAUCGCUAGUAAUCGCGGAUCAGAAUGCCGCGGUGAAUACGUUCCCGGGUCUUGUACACACCGCCCGUCACACCAUGGGAGUCGGAAAUGCCCGAAGUCUGUGACCCAACCUACGGGAGGGAGGCAGCCGAAGGCAGGUCGGAUGACUGGGGUGAAGUCGUAACAAGGUAGC